rnacentral:rRNA from 1 species
GACGAACGCUGGCGGCGUGCCUAACACAUGCAAGUCGAGCGGGGUCCAACUGGGGGCAACCCCAGGGAAGACCUAGCGGCGAACGGGUGAGUAACACGUGAGGAACCUGCCCUGGAGUGC